AUGAUGGGGUCUUCUAAAUAUACAAUCAUGUCAUCUGCAAACAGGGACAAUUUGACUUCCUCUUUUCCUAAUUGGAUACCCUUUAUUUCUUUCUCUUGCCUGACUUCCCUGGCCAGAACUUCCAACCCUAUGUUGAAUAGGAGUGGUGAGAGAGGGCAUCCUUGUCUUGUGCUGGUUUUCAAAGGGAAUGCUUCCAGUUUUGGCCCGUUCAGUAUGAUGUUGGCUGUGGGUUUGUCAUAAAUAGCUCUUAUUAUUUUGAGAUACAUUCCAUCAAUACCUAGUUUAUUGAGAGUUUUUAUCAUGAAGGGCUGUUGAAUUUUGUCUAAGGCCUUUUCUACAUCGAUUGAGAUAAUCAUGUGGUUUUUGUCGUUGGUUCCGUUUAUGUGAUGGAUUACAUUUAUUGAUUUGUGUAUGUUUUUUAAAAAAGCUCAGAAAGUGUCUGGGGAUGUUGAAACAGAUGCUUGGUCACUUGCCUUGAUUUGCAUGGGGCUGAAACAGGAACGAGAAUUCAGUCCAGAGACAGGGUUCAGAGCUGUCAGAAGAACUGAAGUAAUUUGAGGUGGGUCCUGAAGCUAGAUGAGAAACAGGCUAUGAGACCUUGGAGAGAAAAUCACCAUGAGGGAGAGAAGAGAACAGCAAAGCGGUCUGACUGAGCAGGGAGCACACCUGCACUCACCAAGGCUGUAAACCCAUGAGGGCAGAAACUGGGUCUUCUUUUUAUUGGUAUCCCCAAAAUGCACCGAAAUGUCUGGGCACCAGUACAUGCUAAGAAGUGUUACAGAUGAUCAUGAAGGAGGUGUCUAUUGGGAGCCCUGCUGUGGUCUGCUCCAGAACAAAUGCUCUGUCCUUGACACCAGUACAAACAGCAGCCUCCCCUGCCACCUGUCAGUGAACCACCGCCAAAGCAUAAUUGUACCGGGAUGUCGUGAGAGGAAGCCUGAUUUAAACAAGGCCCUGGCAGAGUUGGGGGGCCAGCAGCGCCUUCUCAUACCUGUUAAUGAAGCCUCAUUAGAAACAGCAAGAGCCUGUGCUGGGAACUGGAAGCACCAGUCUGCCAUGGCUCUCCCUGCCAAAGGGUGAUUAACUGAAUGAUUUACGGCAGCUGCUCUUGGAGAUGAUGGUGUGGAGGAGACCGAGCGUGUGCAACCCUGCACAGUGUGCUGUCUGGUGGAAACUCAGGAGUAUGCGCAGAUUCCUUCUCCCCUCUUUCCAGCGGCCGAAACGACUUCCAGGUUCUAAAAACUGCAUGGCCAUUCAGUCAUAGAAGUACCUCCCUUUGAUAGCUGACCUUUCGGGGACUCUCACCUUUGAAGCCUCCAGCUACCUUUAGGUUAGGAAUUUAGGUCUUGCCUGAGGGGCCAAAAAUUAAUAGUAACGAGAAAGAAAGCAAAGAAACAGACCUCAGUGUCUUGUGCAUCCAACAUAGCAAGGCCAGCCACACACUUUGUUUUCUGGCAGGACUCUUGUAUCCAGGUGGUUCAAUUAUGGGCAGCCCCAUAGUGUGCAGCUAUGGAGGAGAUGGAUACUUUGCUAAAAUGUAGUUUUAGGGCGUCUUGCCUAUUUCCAUGUCUCGAACAACAAACUGACCUAUGUCAAGGUUCUAUGCACAUUGUAAAUAGCUGUUCUGCUCAUGUGAUCUUUAAUACAAUUCCUUUGCUCCUGUAGGCCAAAAAGGAAAACCAGUUGUAGCAAUUCCAACAAGGAUACCACAUAUCUUGCCUUUUUUUUUUCUUUUUUGAGACAGUCUUGCUCUGUUGCCUAGGU